GAUGAACGCUGGCGGCGUGCCUAAUACAUGCAAGUCGGGCGAACGGACGAGAAGCUUGCUUCUCUGAUGUUAGCGGCGGACGGGUGAGUAACACGCGGAUAACCUACCUAUAAGACUGGGAUAACUUCGGGAAACCGUAGCUAAUACCGGAUAAUAUUUUGAACGGCAUGGUUCAAAAGUGAAAGACGGUCUUGCUGUCACUUAUAGAUGGAUCCGCGCUGCAUUAGCUAGUUGGUAAGGUAACGGCUUACCAAGGCAACGAUGCAUAGCCGACCUGAGAGGGUGAUCAGCCACACUGGAACUGAGGCACGGUCCAGACUCCUACGGGAGGCAGCAGUAGGGAAUCUUCCGCAAUGGGCGAAAGCCUGACGGAGCAACGCCGCGUGAGUGAUGAAGGUCUUCGGAUCGUAAAGCUCUGUUAUUAGGGAAGAACAUAUGUGUAAGUAACUGUGCACAUCUUGACGGUACCUAAUCAGAAAGCCACGGCUAACUACGUG
rnacentral:rRNA from 1 species